AUGAGCUCCUCGUCAGGGGCCAGCCUUGGCGGCCAGCCGCCGCCGCCGCCGCCCGCCGCGCCGCCGGAGGAAGAGAAGAAGAACCUCAACUCGGAGCUGUGGCACGCAUGCGCCGGCCCGCUCGUCUGCCUCCCCACCCUCGGCACGCGCGUCGUCUACUUCCCGCAGGGCCACAGCGAGCAGGUGGCGGCGUCCACGAACAAGGAGGUGGAGGGGCACAUCCCCAACUACCCCAACCUGCCGCCGCAGCUCAUCUGCCAGCUGCACGAUGUCACAAUGCAUGCUGAUGUGGAGACCGACGAAGUGUACGCGCAGAUGACGCUGCAGCCGCUGAAUCCACAAGAGCAGAACGACGCCUACCUGCCGGCGGAGAUGGGGAUCAUGAGCAAGCAGCCGACCAACUACUUCUGCAAGACGCUGACGGCCAGCGACACCAGCACGCACGGCGGCUUCUCCGUGCCCCGCCGUGCCGCCGAGCGCGUCUUCCCCCCUCUGGAUUUCACGCAGCAGCCUCCUGCUCAGGAGCUAAUUGCGCGGGACAUUCAUGAUGUGGAGUGGAAGUUUAGGCACAUCUUCCGAGGCCAGCCCAAACGACACUUGCUAACUACUGGCUGGAGUGUGUUCGUUAGCGCCAAAAGACUAGUUGCUGGAGACUCAGUGCUCUUCAUAUGGAACGAGAAAAACCAGCUUUGGCUAGGAAUCAGGCGUGCCAACCGGACACAGACUGUGAUGCCUUCCUCUGUUCUUUCGAGUGACAGCAUGCACAUAGGGCUCCUUGCAGCUGCGGCUCACGCUGCUUCUACAAACAGCCGCUUCACAAUUUUCUACAAUCCGAGGGCAUGUCCAUCAGAAUUUGUCAUACCACUCUCAAAGUAUAUCAAGGCUGUUUUUCACACCCGGAUAUCGGUCGGCAUGCGGUUCAGGAUGCUCUUUGAGACCGAGGAAUCUAGUGUUCGCAGGUAUAUGGGGACGAUAACAGAAGUGAGUGAUGCUGAUCCAGUGCGUUGGGCUAGUUCCUACUGGAGAUCAGUUAAGGUUGGUUGGGAUGAAUCAACUGCUGGGGAAAGGCCGCCUAGAGUUUCUUUAUGGGAGAUUGAACCAUUGACAACCUUUCCUAUGUAUCCGUCUUUGUUUCCGCUGAGGGUUAAGCAUCCCUGGUAUUCUGGUGUAGCAGGCCUUCAAGAUGACAGCAAUGCUUUGAUGUGGCUGAGAGGAGUUGCUGGAGAUGGAGGUUAUCAGUCUAUGAACUUUCAGUCACCUGGUAUUGGCUCCUGGGGACAACAGAGGCUCCAUCCUUCUUUGCUGAGUACCGACCAUGAUCAGUACCAAGCUGUAGUUGCUGCUGCUGCCGCCGCCUCCCAGUCUGGUGGUUAUAUGAAACAACAAUUCCUAAACCUUCAGCAGCCUAUGCAGUCGCCUCAAGAACACUGCAACCUCAACCCGCUCUUGCAGCAACAGAUCUUGCAGCAAGCAAGCCAACAACAAACCGUUAGUGCUGAUAGUCAGAAUAUUCAGGCAAUGCUGAACUCAAGUGCUAUGCAGCACCAACUUCAACAGCUCCAGCAACUGCAGCAGGUGCACCAGGUGCAGCAGGCGCAGCAGGCUCACAUUGAUCAGAAGCAGAAGAUUCAAUCAGAUCAAACAUAUCAUGUUCCUACUAGUGCGUCUCUCCCAAGUCCAACAUCACUACCAAGCCAUCUGCGUGAAAAAUUUGGCUUCUCUGAUCCUAAUGCUAAUUCGUCAAGCUUCACCACUUCUAGCAGCAGCGACAACAUGCUGGAAUCGAACUUCCUUCAGGGGAAUUCGAAAGCUGUAGACUUGUCUAGAUUCAAUCAGCCAGUAGCUAGCGAUCAGCAGCAGCAGCAGCAACAACAGCAACAGCAGGCUUGGAAGCAAAAGUUUAUGGGUUCACAAUCACUGUCUUUUGGGGGCUCGGGUUUGCUUAGCUCACCCACAAGUAAAGACGGUUCUCUUGAGAGCAAAAUUGGUUCUGAUGUGCAAAAUCAGUCCCUUUUUAGUCCUCAAGUUGAUUCUUCCUCCCUACUGUACAACAUGGUGCCUAACAUGACUUCAAAUGUUGCGGAUAACAACAUGUCUACGAUUCCUUCUGGAUCAACAUAUCUGCAAAGUCCCAUGUAUGGUUGUUUGGACGACUCUUCUGGUAUAUUUCAGAAUACAGGAGAGAAUGACCCAACAAGCAGAACAUUCGUGAAGGUUUAUAAGUCAGGAUCAGUGGGGAGGUCCUUGGACAUCACCCGGUUCUCCAAUUAUGCUGAACUUCGGGAAGAACUGGGUCAGAUGUACGGCAUUAGGGGUCAGUUGGAUGACCCCGAUAGAUCAGGCUGGCAGCUUGUAUUCGUCGACAGGGAGAAUGAUGUGCUUCUCCUUGGAGACGACCCUUGGGAGUCAUUUGUCAAUAGUGUAUGGUACAUCAAGAUACUUUCACCAGAGGAUGUGCACAAGUUGGGCAAGCAAGGAAAUGAUCCACGUUACCUUUCCUAA
rnacentral:rRNA from 1 species